rnacentral:tRNA from 1 species
CAGGGAGACAACAAAAUGUUUAAUAUUAUUUUGUCACCUUAGGUCGAUCGGUAUCUCACGUUCUUAAUUUAUUAAGAAUUUCAAUUCCUAAGUUUUUCUAGGUCACACCCAUUAUUUUUCCUGGGCCAUUAGCUCAGGUGGUUAGAGCGCACCCCUGAUAAGGGUGAGGUCCCUGGUUCAAGUCCAGGAUGGCCCAUAUCUCUAUGUUGGGGGUAUAGCUCAGUUGGUAGAGCGCCUGCUUUGCAAGCAGGAUGUCAGCGGUUCGAGUCCGCUUACCUCCACUGAUUACCACCUCUUCCAUAAUUCAAAGAAGGGAAACUUUAUUUGGUGUGAUCAUAUUCUGAACGAAUCUAGCUUCCUAAUAAAAUUUAUUAAGAUGCUGGACUCAUUGAAUUUUUUCAUUGUUUUCAGAGAACCUUGACAACUGCAUAGAUUAUUUUUAAAGACAAUAAGCAUCUUUAAUGAUGCAGAUUUAUUAUUUGUGCGAAUGCAUUAAUAACAAUUCUAUUAAGCUGAUGCUUCAAAUUUUGAAGUUAUU